rnacentral:lncRNA from 1 species
UUGAACUUGAGAUACUUACAGGUAGGUGUCUGUUUACUGCUGACUAAAGGCUACUAUUCUCAGCUCCUGAAUCAGAUAAUAAACAUUACCAAAAUGACUUUUUUUAAAAAUACCUUUUAGUCAGCAAGAACCGAUUCAAAUCUGUUUGGCUUUACUCUUAGGUACGUUUUCUUUCUGUUGGAAGGACUAAGAUCAUUCUUGGGCUGCCAGCUUCAUGGAGGAAAAAGAGUUAUGGAUAAAGAGAAAUAUGAGAAGAGUGAGACUUUGUCCAAGAUCACCCAAUGAGGGGGAUUUAAACAGAGGGGAUCUGAUCCACGAGGCUCAUGAAUGCAGAGUGUAG